rnacentral:rRNA from 1 species
UGAGCAAUCUGCCCUUCACAUCGGAAUAACCAUUGGAAACGAUGGCUAAUACCGAAUAUGACUUCGGAUCGCAUGAUCUGAAGUGGAAAGCUCCGGCGGUGAAGGAUGAGCUCGCGGCCUAUCAGCUUGUUGGUGAGGUAACGGCUCACCAAGGCGACGAUCAGUAGCCGACUGAGAGGGUGAUCCGGCCAACAGUUUAGGGAAACCUGGAACGGAAACCCGUAACGGGUUACCCCCUAAAAAAACCCGG